GUAUCUCCUCGGAGGUACAUAUACUAAAAUUGGAACGAUACAGAGAAGAUUAGCAUGGCCCCUGCGCAAGGAUGACACGCAAAAUCGUGAAGCGUUCCAUAUUUUCCGCUUUU
rnacentral:snRNA from 1 species